UACAGAGGUGGCAAGCGUUGUUCGGAAUUACUGGGCGUAAAGGGCGCGUAGGCGGCCUUCUAAGUCAGACGUGAAAUCCCCCGGCUUAACCUGGGAACUGCGUCUGAUACUGGAAGGCUUGAGUGCGGGAGAGGGAUGUGGAAUUCCAGGUGUAGCGGUGAAAUGCGUAGAUAUCUGGAGGAACACCGGUGGCGAAGGCGGCAUCCUGGACCAAUUCUGACGCUGAUGAGCGAAAGCCAGGGGAGCAAACGGG
rnacentral:rRNA from 1 species